GAGAGAGUAGAUAACUUUGCUCGUUUUUCCCCCGACCAGUUCUUUUUUCUUUUCUUUUUUGUGUUCCUUUGGAAUAAUCAACAGUGAAAACUUUCUCUUCCAACAACCCAACAAAAAACACGCUCUUCUCUCCCUCUGUGCCUCUGUGUUUAGGUGUGUUCCAGUCGGAUUGAAUUGUGUGUCAUCAGCCAAAAAAAUGAAGCGAAAUUUCGAAAAAAAAGCAACAGAUUGUUAUGAAGGCAAGGUCUCGCUAGUUCACAUGCUGGUCUCACUCUAGAAGAAUUUGGGUGUUUCUUUUUCUUCUUCUUCUUCUUCUUCCAGUCGUUCACGGCUGUUUGGCUUCGUGCCAGGUAAUCUCGCCCGAUGGCUCCAGGGCAAGAAGAAAAAAAAACACGGAGGGGAGAAAAAGCAAAAGCAAAGUGAACAUUAUAUAGCCGAAGAGAAUGAAAAAGAGGCCAUCCACUACUACACCAAACACACACACAAUCGACGAGGGUGAGGAGGGGGGCGCAGCUCUUUCGUUUUUUUCUUAUUCUUCUGUUUGGCUGACGCCGGGGCUAAUAACACCUGAAAUGCAAUCGACGCCAGAAGCCAAUAUUCAUUUUUCCAGUCUGCUGGAUGAGAUUUAGAUCUUUAUAUCAGCGCCAAAGAUUUUUCCAAACGAAAUAGCUCACACAGUUAUUCAAUUCCGACGAAUUUGUAAUACAAGAAGAAAAAAGAAAAAAAAAGAAGAAAUACUUUGUGCGUUAUUUCCCAAUUUGGUCAGAUCCAGCAACCGGCUGGGGCCACCAGCGGAGGGAGGACUCCUCUCAUCCACAUACCUGUGCGAUGCCUUUGUGAUUCUUUAUUCUUUCGACUGGAUGGAUGUAAUAUUCUUCAGUCAAUGCCAACUGGCUUUCUGCUGCUGCUGCAAAGACUUGAAGGAGAUUUCCUUCUUUCGCUAUAUAUUCUUCGCCAUUCUUAUGCUGCUGCCCUUCUCUUUUUUUUUUUCUACUUCUUCUUCUCCCGGGAUAAUUACUCUUUGCGUGAAGGGAUUUCUGACGUCAAUACAACACGCGAGCAAGUCCUGGUAGUGCACCACCACCACCACUGUGCCAAGAGGGAAAAAAAAGACGUGCGUGAAAAAAAGAAUUCGUCCUGACGAGCUGUCACGUCUCCCGCUGCUAUUCACGUUGGCCACUGGAGGAGACGCGGUCCAUAAUAAAGCCGGCGGCACCUAAUCCCUGGGCUGAUUGCGCCCACUGUUGUUGUGUCGUGUAUAGUUGUCUGUGUCCAGCUGAGCCUGGGCGCUCACGUGAAAUAAGGGACGACUAUAUACGGCCGGAUUCACGGACUGACCGUGAACAAACAGAAACUCAACGGCUAACCCAGGCGGACACGCUAUUUUUAAGUUAAGGCAUUUUCUCUUUUCUUUUUUAAGAGUUAAAUCAUAUCCGUUAGACUGUUACC